rnacentral:rRNA from 1 species
GGGAAGUCCGGGACAGGAGGCGCGGAAAUAAGGGGGGUCCGAGCGUUAAGCGGAAGUACUGGGGCGAAAGCGGGGGCAGGCGGUGUGUUAAGCGAGAUGUGAAAGCCCUGGGCUCAACCGAGGAAGAGCAUUUCGAACUGGCGAACUAGAGUCUUGUAGAGGGGGGUAGAAUUCCAGGUGUAGCGGUGAAAUGCGUAGAGAUCUGGAGGAAUACCGGUGGCGAAGGCGGCCCCCUGGACAAAGACUGACGCUCAUGCACGAAAGCGUGGGGAGCAAACAGGAUUAGAUACCGCGGUAGUC